rnacentral:rRNA from 1 species
UGAACGCUGGCGGCAGGCCUAACACAUGCAAGUCGAACGGUAACAGGAAACAGCUUGCUGUUUCGCUGACGAGUGGCGGACGGGUGAGUAAUGUCUGGGAAACUGCCUGAUGGAGGGGGAUAACUACUGGAAACGGUAGCUAAUACCGCAUAACGUCGCAAGACCAAAGAGGGGGACCCUCGGGCCUCUUGCCAUCGGAUGUGCCCAGAUGGGAUUAGCUUGUUGGUGGGGUAACGGCUCACCAAGGCGACGAUCCCUAGCUGGUCUGAGAGGAUGACCAGCCACACUGGAACUGAGACACGGUCCAGACUCCUACGGGAGGCAGCAGUGGGGAAUAUUGCACAAUGGGCGCAAGCCUGAUGCAGCCAUGCCGCGUGUAUGAAGAAGGCCUUCGGGUUGUAAAGUACUUUCAGCGGGGAGGAAGGGAGUAAAGUUAAUACCUUUGCUCAUUGACGUUACCCGCAGAAGAAGCACCGGCUAACUCCGUGCCAGCAGCCGCGGUAAUACGGAGGGUGCAAGCGUUAAUCGGAAUUACUGGGCGUAAAGCGCACGCAGGCGGUUUGUUAAGUCAGAUGUGAAAUCCCCGGGCUCAACCUGGGAACUGCAUCUGAUACUGGCAAGCUUGAGUCUCGUAGAGGGGGGGUAGAAUUCCAGGUGUAGCGGUGAAAUGCGUAGAGAUCUGGAGGAAUACCGGUGGCGAAGGCGGCCCCCUGGACGAAGACUGACGCUCAGGUGCGAAAGCGUGGGGAGCAAACAGGAUUAGAUACCCUGGUAGUCCACGCCGUAAACGAUGUCGACUUGGAGGUUGUGCCCUUGAGGCGUGGCUUCCGGAGCUAACGCGUUAAGUCGACCGCCUGGGGAGUACGGCCGCAAGGUUAAAACUCAAAUGAAUUGACGGGGGCCCGCACAAGCGGUGGAGCAUGUGGUUUAAUUCGAUGCAACGCGAAGAACCUUACCUGGUCUUGACAUCCACGGAAGUUUUCAGAGAUGAGAAUGUGCCUUCGGGAACCGUGAGACAGGUGCUGCAUGGCUGUCGUCAGCUCGUGUUGUGAAAUGUUGGGUUAAGUCCCGCAACGAGCGCAACCCUUAUCCUUUGUUGCCAGCGGUCCGGCCGGGAACUCAAAGGAGACUGCCAGUGAUAAACUGGAGGAAGGUGGGGAUGACGUCAAGUCAUCAUGGCCCUUACGACCAGGGCUACACACGUGCUACAAUGGCGCAUACAAAGAGAAGCGACCUCGCGAGAGCAAGCGGACCUCAUAAAGUGCGUCGUAGUCCGGAUUGGAGUCUGCAACUCGACUCCAUGAAGUCGGAAUCGCUAGUAAUCGUGGAUCAGAAUGCCACGGUGAAUACGUUCCCGGGCCUUGUACACACCGCCCGUCACACCAUGGGAGUGGGUUGCAAAAGAAGUAGGUAGCUUAACCUUCGGGAGGGCGCUUACCACUUUGUGAUUCAUGACUGGGGUGA